GGGGAUAAUAAUAAGCCUGCCUGGUGCUGU
rnacentral:piRNA from 1 species